rnacentral:rRNA from 1 species
CCUACGGGGGGCUGCAGUGGGGAAUAUUGGACAAUGGGGGGAACCCUGAUCCAGCCAUGCCGCGUGUGUGAAGAAGGCCCUCGGGUUGUAAAGCACUUUCAGUGAGGAAGAACGCCUGGUGGUUAAUACCCAUCAGGAAAGACAUCACUCACAGAAGAAGCACCGGCUAACUCCGUGCCAGCAGCCGCGGUAAUACGGAGGGUACGAGCGUUAAUCGGAAUUACUGGGCGUAAAGCGCGCGUAGGUGGCUUGAUAAGCCGGUUGUGAAAGCCCCGGGCUCAACCUGGGAACGGCAUCCGGAACUGUCAAGCUAGAGUGCAGGAGAGGAAGGUAGAAUUCCCGGUGUAGCGGUGAAAUGCGUAGAGAUCGGGAGGAAUACCAGUGGCGAAGGCGGCCUUCUGGACUGACACUGACACUGAGGUGCGAAAGCGUGGGUAGCAAACAGGAUUAGAUACCCUAGUAGUC